GACGAACGCUGGCGGCGUGCUUAACACAUGCAAGUCGAACGGAAAGGCCCUGCUUUUGUGGGGUGCUCGAGUGGCGAACGGGUGAGUAACACGUGAGUAACCUGCCCUUGACUUUGGGAUAACUUCAGGAAACUGGGGCUAAUACCGGAUAGGAGCUCCUGCUGCAUGGUGGGGGUUGGAAAGUUUCGGCGGUUGGGGAUGGACUCGCGGCUUAUCAGCUUGUUGGUGGGGUAGUGGCUUACCAAGGCUUUGACGGGUAGCCGGCCUGAGAGGGUGACCGGCCACAGUGGGACUGAGAGACGGCGCAGACUCCUACGGGAGGCAGCAGUGGGGAAUAUUGCACAAUGGGCGGAAGCCUGAUGCAGAAACGCCGCGUGCGGGAUGACGGCCUUCGGGUUGUAAACCGCUUUCGCCUGUGACGAAGCGUGAGUGACGGUAAUGGGUAAAGAAGCACCGGCUAACUACGUG
rnacentral:rRNA from 1 species